UAUAGGGUCACAAUCGUUGGUGCCCCAGCGAUGGGGUGAAACGGGAAUACGGUGAGGGAAACCGAUGCCGUAGCUGCCCCCGCAACUGUAAGCGAUGAGCUGACUUCGUACCAAGUCACUGGGUGAUCGCCCGGGAAGACGCGAAGCCAGCGAUGAUCCGCAAGCCAGGAGACCGGCCAACAUCCCAGUUUUUCU
rnacentral:ncRNA from 2 species